CUCAUAGGGCUCCUCCCCCUACCUCGGCCAUUUUGUGGACAGACGGUGGAGAGUCGCAGAAGUGUUCACAUUACUUCAGCCUUCACGACCAUAACCAGAUAACCUCUCACUCACACGCAUGAACCCUUGCAAGUAAUUGAACUGUGAAGAAUUAGCAGCAAUGAAUCUAAAAUAGUAUUAGUACAACCAUCACAACAGUCACCACUGCUAAAUACUACUACUACUACAACAGUGAAGUGGUGUCCAUUAGAGGUGGUGAGGCCAGAUGUUGAGAGAGGUCACUUUUCUCCUUAAGAUGUCUAGGACUUAGUGAUGGAGAGUCCGAGAGGAAGGUCACUUAGUAAGGAGUGCAAUGAAGAGCUCCAGCUUUCCUUGAAUUUCUUCUCUCCUCACUUACUUUACCAGAAUCAUCACAUUUAUAUUGUAAUGAUGUAAUAAAGAAAAAUUGUACUGUAAUUAAUACCGGUGAUUUUUAAUGUGCCACUGCUUUUAAUCUAACGGUGAUAACAAUAAUAAUAAUCAUAAUUAACAAUAAUAAAUAAAACUCCUUUCUCUCUCUGCCAAUAUUAUUAGAGAGAGAGAGAGAGAGAGAGAGAGAGAGAGAUGCAUUGGUGUAAUGGUAAUAAUGGGUAGUAUUGUAAUUACUGGUGGAUGUAAUUGAUAUAAUGUUUAGUAGUCUAAUGGUGUUAUUAAUAGAUGGGUUAAGUUAAUUUACUUGUGUUUUAAACUUUAAUUAUCUACUUGUAAAUUUAGUAAGAAAAUUGAUUGCAAUUAAUAAUGGCUAAUGGUAUUCUAUUCAAUGAGUUGGGUUUCAUUACUGUUAUGUCAUUUAAAUGUAUUUUUACACACACACACACACACACACAUUUCUGCCUCAUCCUGUGUUUAUUACAAAUCACAAACACAAUUUCUUCCUUUGUCUUCUCAAGUUACUAAAAUUACCCUUUAACUCAACAAAACACACAAUUUAUGCUUCCUUCUAAAUCACAAAAGCACAAUUUUUCCCUCACCCCAAAACAAAAUCUCUCUACUCAUCUCAUCAUUAAUGUAGUUUGAGUGUUAAUAAAACAAUAAUAACAUUUAGUAAAUAUUUAUUGGAAAUAGUAUUGAUUGAUUGAUCUGUAAAAUAAGAUGUUAGUGCUGGUUUUAAUAAUACUGAGAACUUGAGAACAAUAACAAAAUCAAUAAAAAAUAAUAAUAAUAAUAAA